rnacentral:ribozyme from 1 species
GGGACAGGUCGUGUGGUCCGUUGGGGGAGUUCACAGGGUGAGGAAACGUUUGGUAUCUUUUUUCUUUAUGCAAUUGGAUUUCCGUUGUUGUCGCAA